rnacentral:tRNA from 1 species
GGCAAGAUGGCCGAGUGGUUAAGGCGUGUGACUCAAGCGAACUGCUUGCCUGCUCAGCGGGUCUUCUCAUAACGUAAUGUUGCGUGGGUUCGAAUCCCACUCUUGUCA